rnacentral:rRNA from 1 species
GACGAAGGAUGCAAGCGUUAUCCGGAUUCAUUGGGUUUAAAGGGCGCGUAGGCGGAUUGGUAAGUCAGUGGUGAAAUCUUUGGGCUUAACCCAGAAACUGCCAUUGAUACUGCUGAUCUAGAGUACAGUUGCCGUUGGCGGAAUAUGACAUGUAGUGGUGAAAUACUUAGAUAUGUCAUAGAACACCGAUUGCGAAGGCAGCUAACGAGGCUGUAACUGACGCUGAGGCUCGAAAGUGCGGGGAUCAAACAGG